rnacentral:rRNA from 1 species
UACGUAGGGUGCAAGCGUUGUCCGGAAUUAUUGGGCGUAAAGAGCUCGUAGGCGGCCUGCCGCGUCGGCUGUGAAAACUCGAGGCUCAACCUCGAGACGCCGAUGGAAACCAUGUGGCUAGAGUCCGGAAGAGGAGAGUGGAAUUCCUGGUGUAGCGGUGAAAUGCGCAGAUAUCAGGAAGAACACCAGUGGCUAAGGCGGCUCUCUAGUACGGUACUGACGCUGAGGCGCGAAAGCGUGGGGAGCGAACAGG